rnacentral:rRNA from 1 species
GAUGAACGCUAGCGGCAGGCUUAAUACUUGCAAUUCGAGGGACAGCACAGGUAGCAAUACUGGGUGGUAACCGGCAAACGGGUGCGGAACACGUACACAACCUUCCUUUAAGUGGGGGAUAGCCCAGAGAAAUUUGGAUUAAUACCACGUAAUAUAGUUGAAUGGCAUCAUUUGAUUAUUAUAGCUACGGCGCUUAAUGAUGGGUGUGCGGCUGAUUAGAUAGUUGGCGGGGUAACGGCCCACCAAGUCUACGAUCAGUAGCUGAUGUGAGAGCAUGAUCAGCCACACGGGCACUGAGACACGGGCCCGACUCCUACGGGAGGCAGCAGUAAGGAAUAUUGGUCAAUGGACGCAAGUCUGAACCAGCCAUGCCGCGUGAAGGAUUAAGGUCCUCUGGAUUGUAAACUUCUUUUAUUUGGGACGAAAAAGGGCCUUUCUAGGUCAACUGACGGUACCAGAUGAAUAAGCACCGGCUAACUCCGUGCCAGCCGCCGCAGUAACAC